GAGGAAGUAAAAGUCGUAACAAGGUCUCCGUAGGUGAACCUGCGGAGGGAUCAUUACAAGUGACCCCGGUUUACCACCGGGAUGUUCAUAACCCUUUGUUGUCCGACUCUGUUGCCUCCGGGGCGACCCUGCCUUCGGGCGGGGGCUCCGGGUGGACACUUCAAACUCUUGCGUAACUUUGCAGUCUGAGUAAACUUAAUUAAUAAAUUAAAACUUUUAACAACGGAUCUCUUGGUUCUGGCAUCGAUGAAGAACGCAGCGAAAUGCGAUAAGUAAUGUGAAUUGCAGAAUUCAGUGAAUCAUCGAAUCUUUGAACGCACAUUGCGCCCCCUGGUAUUCCGGGGGGCAUGCCUGUUCGAGCGUCAUUUCACCACUCAAGCCUCGCUUGGUAUUGGGCAACGCGGUCCGCCGCGUGCCUCAAAUCGACCGGCUGGGUCUUCUGUCCCCUAAGCGUUGUGGAAACUAUUCGCUAAAGGGUGCUCGGGAGGCUACGCCGUAAAACAACCCCAUUUCUAAGGUUGACCUCGGAUCAGGUAGGGAUACCCGCUGAACUUAAGCAUAUCAAUAAG
rnacentral:rRNA from 1 species